AACGUAGGUGGCAAGCGUUAUCCGGAAUUACUGGGCGUAAAGGGUGUGCAGGCGGGGUGGCAAGUGGUGUAUGAAAUCUCCCAGCUUAACUGGGAUAGGUUAUGCCAGACUGCUACUCUAGAGGACGAGAGGAGGGCGUGGAAUUCCGGGGUGUAGUGGUGAAAUGCGUAGAGAUCCGGAGGAACACCGGUGGCGAAGGCGGCAUCCUGGACCGGCAUUGACGCUGAGGAGCGAAAGCCAGGGGAGCAAACGGG
rnacentral:rRNA from 1 species